CCUGGUUGAUCCUGCCAGUAGUCAUAUGCUUGUGUUAAAGAUUAAGCCAUGCAAGUCUGAGUAUAAGCCCUUGUACGGUUAAACUGCGAAUGGCUCAUUAAAUCAGUUAUUGUUUAUUUGGUGGUACAAACCCACAUGGAUAACCCUGCGAAUUGUAGAGCUAAUACAUGCAUGAAGUUCUUGACUAAAAAGAAAUUGAGAAAUCAAUUUUAAUUUGGAAAAGAAGCACUUGUUAGCCGGGCAAGCCAAAAACUUUUUUAUAUGGAAACAUAUUUUAAAGUAAAAAAAAUUGGCGAGUCAUAACAAUUUAGCGAAUCGCAUACCCUUUUGAGGUGGCGAUGCACCAUUCAAAUUUCUGCCCUAUUAUGUUUCGAUGGUAGGAUAUAGGCCUACCAUUCAAUUGAUGGGUAACGGGGAAUUGGGGUUUGAUUCCGGAGAGGGAGCUCGAGAAACGGCUACCACUUCCAAGGAAGGCAGCAGGCGCGCAAAUUACCCACUGGCGACACGCCGAGGUAGUGACAACAAAUAAGUAUGCAGGUCCCACAGGGAUUUGCAAUACGAAUGAGUACAAAUUAAACCCCUUAACGAAAGCCACUGGAGGGCAAGUCUGGUGCCAGCAGCCGCGGUAAUUCCAGCUCCAGUAGCGUAUAUUAAAGCUGUUGCGGUUAAAAAGCUCGUAGUCGGAUUUAAGGAUAAUUUUUUGGAAUGUUGGUCAAAAUUGUUUUGUUACUGAUUUCCUUUUAUCCUUUAUAACCUUUUCUGAAUACUCGUUUCUGCUCUUCAUUGAGUGGGAAUAACAAAAAAGUUUGAGAAUUAAAGGAAACUUCAUUCCUUUUCUUUUGAGUUUCAGAUUUUUUACUUUGAAAAAACCAGAGUGUUCAAAGCAGGCGUUUUUAAUGUCUUGAAUACAUUAGCAUGGGAUAAUACUAUGGGACUCUUGACUCAUAUUUAUUGGUUUCAGAUUUAAGAGUAACGAUCAAUAGGGACAGUUGGGGUGAUUCUUAUUUCUUCAAUAGAGGUGAAAUUCUGUGACUGAAGAAAGAAGAACUAGUGCGAAAGCAUUUCACAAGGAUGUUUUCAUUGAUCAAGAACGAAAGUUGAGGGAUCGAAGGCGAUCAGAUACCGCCCUAGUCUCAACCAUAAACUAUGCCGACCAGGGAUUGAAAGACGUUAAAAUUUUUAAAGACUCCUUCAGCACCUUGUGAGAAAUCACAAGUCUUUGGGCUUCGGGGGGAGUAUGGUCGCAAGGCUGAAACUUAAAGGAAUUGACGGAAGGGCACCACCAGGAGUGGAGCCUGCGGCUUAAUUCGACCCAACACGGGAAAACUCACCAGGUCCAGACAAUAGAAGGAUGUACAGACUUGCAGAUCUUUAUAGAUUUAUUGGGUGGUGGUGCAUGGCCGUUCUUGGCUCGUGCGUUGACUUGUCUGGUUAAUUCCGUUAACGAGCGAGACCUCAGCCUGCUAAAUAGUCAUUCAAGGUGUCAUUCUUAAAAAAGUUGUUGGGUUUUUU
rnacentral:rRNA from 1 species